UACAGAGGGUGCGAGCGUUAAUCGGAAUUACUGGGCGUAAAGCGUGCGUAGACGGUUAUUUAAGUCAGGUGUGAAAGCCCCGGGCUCAACCUGGGAAUUGCAUUUGUGACUGCACGGCUAGAGUGUGUCAGAGGGGGGUAGAAUUCCACGUGUAGCAGUGAAAUGCGUAGAUAUGUGGAGGAAUACCGAUGGCGAAGGCAGCCCCCUGGGAUAACACUGACGCUCAUGCACGAAAGCGUGGGGAGCAAACAGG
rnacentral:rRNA from 1 species